rnacentral:rRNA from 1 species
AGAUUGAACGCUGGCGGCAGGCCUAACACAUGCAAGUCGAGCGGUAGAGAGGUGCUUGCAUCUCUUGAGAGCGGCGGACGGGUGAGUAAUGCCUAGGAAUCUGCCUAGUGGUGGGGGAUAACGUUCGGAAACGGACGCUAAUACCGCAUACGUCCUACGGGAGAAAGCGGGGGACCUUCGGGCCUCGCGCCAUUAGAUGAGCCUAGGUCGGAUUAGCUAGUUGGUGAGGUAAUGGCUCACCAAGGCGACGAUCCGUAACUGGUCUGAGAGGAUGAUCAGUCACACUGGAACUGAGACACGGUCCAGACCUCCGUACGGGAGCAG